rnacentral:rRNA from 1 species
CAAUAGCGUAUAUUAAAGUUGUUGCAGUUAGAACGCUCGUAGUCGGAUUUCGGGGCGGGCCGACCGGUCUGCCGAUGGGUACGCACUGGUCGGCGCGUCCUUCCUUCCGGAGACCGUGCCUACUCUUAACUGAGCGGGGGCGGGAGACGGAUCGUUUACUUUGAAAAAAUCAGAGUGUUUCAAGCAGGCAGCUCGCUCUUGCAUGGAUUAGCAUGGGAUAAUGAAAUAGGACUUUGGUGCUAUUUUGUUGGUUUCGAACACCGAAGUAAUGAUUAAAAGGGACAGUCAGGGGCACUCGUAUUCCGCCGAGAGAGGUGAAAUUCUCAGACCAGCGGAAGACGAACUACUGCGAAAGCAUUUGCCAGGGAUGUUUUCACUG